UCCAAAGUGUUAGUGAAGAUGUGGAACAACGAAAAAAUUUCGUGCACGGCUGGAAACCACUUUGGAAAACUGUUGGGGAUCAUCUACUAAAGCUAAGUGUAUCGAUAGCCUGUCUGCGACCCAGAAAGCCCACUCCACGUGCCCAACAGCAGUGUGAGCACGUGCUGAGCAGAAGACUUGCGCCAGGAUUUUCGCUGCAACAUUGCAGCUAUAUCCACAGCGGUUAAAGACUGGACACAGCCUAAAUAUCAACAAGAAACUGGGUAAAUUACCCCAUUUUGUCCUCCUUUUGCAAAUAACUACCUAGACACGAAGACGUGAAUUCUUUGCUACCUGCAGCCAUGCAGUAACGUGGAUCUCACAGAUACGAUUUUGAGGCACAGAUGUGAUACGGAAGAGUACAUGUCGUGUGAUUCCGUUCAUGUGUCGUUGAAGAACACAGAAAAGGUCUUCAUGUUUUGAGAAACUGUACUCGAGGAGCUAUACUCUAGGAAUCCCGAGGUGUUUUCUCCACACCUGGACCUGAUUUAGGUAACAAGAUCCUAGACUUCAAGCUGAUGCCGUAAAAGAAUGAGUUUUGGGGAGUCUUUGGAAAGUACUCACUUUAGGGGAAGCCAGAAAUCAUGCUGUGAGGACCCUCCAACAGCCCUCUGAGAACAACUGAAGUCUUCUGUCAACGUCCAGCGUCAGCUUGGUGGCCAUUAGGUUAGAAGCAGGCAUGACUGAUCAAGAGACUGGGCGAAGAGCCAAGAGCCGGAGCUGUUGGGGAGAGGGCCUCCGUGAGCUAAAAGCUGCAAGAGGACAGAAGGUUCUGAAGUUCCUGCACUGCCGUAUCCCCUGAUGCAAAAGGAAGGCCCUGAGUACAUGUGGACUGACUUCACCUGGGGAUAGUCUUGUCCUCUGCACGUCAGAUGAUACAGUGUGCAUAGAGCGCCAAUAAUAUGCAGAACAUUUCUCCUUCCUACUUAGGGAGAGAAGUGCUGGGAUGAAAAGGAUCUGGGAACCUAAGUUUUAUUGUUCUGGCUAGCACUUUUCAGUGAUUGUCAAGAAAAGAGAGGAACGUGA